rnacentral:rRNA from 1 species
CAGUCGCCGCGGGAAUACGUAGGGCGCAAGCGUUGUCCGGAAUUAUUGGGCGUAAAGAGCUCGUAGGCGGUCUGUCGCGUCUGGUGUGAAAUCCCGAGGCUCAACCUCGGGCUUGCAUCGGGUACGGGCAGACUAGAGUGCGGUAGGGGAGACUGGAAUUCCUGGUGUAGCGGUGGAAUGCGCAGAUAUCAGGAGGAACACCGAUGGCGAAGGCAGGUCUCUGGGCCGCAACUGACGCUGAGGAGCGAAAGCAUGGGGAGCGAACAGGAUUAGAUACCCCCGUAGUCCCUGUCUCUUAUAA